rnacentral:rRNA from 1 species
AUCUACGGGGUAGCGGGAAGAUCGUCUGAAGAACUGCAAGGUAUUCGACAUUAUGAUACGCCGAACUGGAAAGGUCUGGAAAGGCCUGCCGUAGAGAGUGAAAGCCUCGUACAGGUAAACCGUAUCAAAUGUAUGAUCUCUCCCAAGUAGCACGGAACACGAGGAAUUCUGUGUGAAUCUGCGAGGACCAUAUCUCGUA